rnacentral:snRNA from 1 species
GUCGUCUGGCUUCUCUUCAGUUAUCGAAUAAAUCUUUCGCCUUUUACUAAAGACUUUCGUGGAGAGGAGCACUCUAAUGAGUCUGUAAGCAAUUUUUUUUUUUUCCAAUUUCAUGCGAAU